AAUCCGUGUUGUGGACUUUUCCGUAAUAGGCCCUUGAAUCGCUCCCAUGCCUCAAAUAAGGACUCGAGCUCCAUCUGAACGAACGACGAUAUCUCAUUGUGAAGCUU